rnacentral:tRNA from 1 species
GCCCAGGUAGCUCAGUUGGUAGAGCACACGAUUGAAAAUCGUGGUGUCGCUGGUUCAAAUCCGGCCCUGGGCACCA